AAAGCUUGCACGAAAGCAAAGCUGAUUCUUAACGUUUUUCUUAUUUAUUUCCUAUUUACCAAAUUAUAAAUAUCUUCAAAAAUAUCUACAGCGCUGUUAAAAUUGAAUAAUGAAUUAAAAAAAAACUGCAGGCCAAGUCGGUCCAAGUCAAGAGUCCCAGGCCGUGGCAGUGUUGCGUGUAAUUUGUUAUUUUAUUUUAUUGUUAUUAUUACCGCAUGCGACGUGCACUUUAUUUUCAUUACCAGUUGGGAUUCUUUUCAUGCAUAUGUAACUUCGUGUAUGGGAGAGCGCAUCUAAUGUCAUGCAUCGGAAUUGGAAAAUGCUUUCAUAGUUGCAGCAGUUGUUGCUGUUGCUGCCGCUUUUGUUGCACGUGUGAAUGUUGCAUUUGUGCCCAACUGGGCGGAGUCCCCGGGUUUUGUGGAGCUGGCCCAGCACCUACUACCAGGCUAAUUGGAAAUGCAUAAAUGGUAAUUGAUGGCUAUAAAUAAAAUGAUGAUAUACCCAA